GUGGGGAAUAUUGGGCAAUGGGCGAAAGCCUGACCCAGCAACGCCGCGUGAAGGAAGAAGGUUUUCGGAUCGUAAACUUCUAUCCUUGGUGAAGAUAAUGACGGUAGCCAAGAAGGAAGCCCCGGCUAACUACGUGCCAGCAGCCGCGGUAAUACGUAGGGGGCAAGCGUUGUCCGGAAUGAUUGGGCGUAAAGGGCGCGUAGGCGGCCCGGUAAGUCUGAAGUGAAAGUCCUGCUUUUAAGGUGGGAAUUGCUUUGGAUACUGUCGGGCUUGAGUGCAGGAGAGGUAAGUGGAAUUCCCGGUGUAGCGGUGAAAUGCGUAGAGAUCGGGAGGAACACCAGUGGCGAAGGCGACUUACUGGACUGUAACUGACGCUGAGGCGCGAAAGUGUGGGGAGCAAACAGGAUUAGAAACCCCAGUAGUCC
rnacentral:rRNA from 1 species